GGUGACGGCUUUAGUUGAUAUUCUCCACACGCAUGCGCGCUUUGUCAUUCCAUAGGCUCACAGCCCUUACCUUAUCAGUCAUUGAAAUCGACCCAGUGUGUGGUUUCCAUCUCCUGACACCAUCUGUUCACUGAGAUGUGGUUGGAAAAGCCCUGUGAACAAGGUGACCUCAUAUAAAUGGAAUCAGCUUGUCAGGACAGUAGAUCUGGCUCAGCAGUGAGGGCGAGCACUGCUCUUUCAAAAGACCUGAUUUUGAGAUGCAGCUCCCAUGUCAGGUGGUACAGCUGUCUCUAACGCCAGCUCUAAUGCGAUCUGAUGCCUCUACCCUCCACAAGCACCCACAACCACAUACACAUACCCACACAGACACACAA
rnacentral:sRNA from 1 species